CAGCCGCCGCGGUAAAACGAAGGGUGCAAGCGUUAAUCGGCAUUACUGGGCGUAAAGCGUGCGUAGGCGGUUUGUUAAGUCUGCUGUGAAAUCCCCGGGCUCAACCUGGGAAUGGCAGUGGAUACUGGCAAGCUAGAGUGUGUCAGAGGAUGGUGGAAUUCCCGGUGUAGCGGUGAAAUGCGUAGAGAUGUGGAGGAACACCGAUGGCGAAGGCAGCCCCCUGGGCCAAUACUGACGCUCAUGCACGAAAGCGUGGGGAGCAAACAGGAUUAGAUACCCCAGUAGUCCCUGUCUCUUAUAC
rnacentral:rRNA from 1 species